UAGCUCAGUCAGUUGAGCAUGGCACUAAGAACGCUAAGGUCACAGGUUCGAUUCCCGU
rnacentral:tRNA from 1 species